GACGAACGCUGGCGGCGUGCCUAAUACAUGCAAGUAGAACGCGGUUGCGAACGGGUGAGUUACGCGUAGGUAACUGCCUGGUAGCGGGGGAUAAAUACUGUAGACGAUAGCUAAUACCGCAUACUACCAGAUGGACCUGCGUUGUAUUUGGUAGUUGGUGAGGUAACGGGUCACCAAGGCAACGAUACAUAGCCGACCUGGGAGGGUUGUCGGCCACACUGGGACUGGGACAGCGGCCCGACUCCCACCGGAGGCAGCAGUAGGGGAUCUUCGGCAAUGGGGGGAAACCUUGCCGAACAACUCCGCGUUGGUGGAGGAAGGUUUCCGGUCUGAAAGCUCUGUUGUGCAGGGAGCGUUACUUAACCAGAAAGGGCCGGCUAACUCCGUGCCAGCAGCCGCGGUAAUAC
rnacentral:rRNA from 1 species